UCUGCAAAUUCCCGUGAGAGAAAUUAACAUAACACAUUCGCAACAACUUGUUUCUUACAAGUAAUCAAAGAUACUGGUUUUUUUUUUUAAUACUUAAGUAAUCAAACAUACUAUUAAACAAAUUGGCAAUAACAAAUUCAGUUCAGUUUAUAGAAGCAUGUUAUCAGCAAGUCAGACAUUAAUUGGCUGUUGUUCGUAGUGUGCUAGUUGGUGGAUCGCUUGCAUAUACUGUCUUUCAUCGGGCAGGGCAAAGGCUAGAUUAUUUGACAGUUGAGUGUGCAAGUUAGGCUGCCAGAAAUUAUAUCUCCCAAGGGAACCGGAUACACGAAAAACUGAUUCACAUUGAAAAUAAGAACAACAUCAAACAACUGUCUAUGCAAAUUCAAGGUAGGAGUGAGCUAACCAUAUCCUGUGUUGUAACCAAUGAAUUCUAGCCAAAAUGAUAUUUCCUUACAAUAAUGUUGCUGUUGUUGUUAUUACAACAAAAGUGUUCUUUUCUAACUCACAUGUAACAGGCAAAGAACAAUGGAUCCGAAGGGGAUCCACCAUUGGGACAAAAAGAAUGUCUCACACAACAACAAAAAAGUACAAGAUCGAACAACUGCCCACGCAACUUCAAGAUGUAACACGCAAAGAGCAUUGGACCCAAGGGUAUAUACCCUCUUCCAGCUAUAGCAAAUCACAAGACGCUGAUCAAGUCCAUAAUAUACUUAACCAUAAGGUGCCAAUCUAACGCACAAAUCUAGUUCCUAUGAAGAUGAUAUUUCUUUAAAAAGAUGAAAACCUUCUUUACAAACUAACUGGUAAAACGAUUAUUUCAAUAUUGAUCUCUUAUACUUUUAAUUUUAAUUCUGAAUGUAUAUGCAGCUCAAAUAUGUUAUACAUGACUUUCAGGAAAUGCAUCUCAACCUCAAUAAUUAGGGCUGUACAAAUUACCAAAAAACCGACCAGAACCGACUCAGACCAGCCGCCGGAGAUCGGAACUGGCUGGAACCGGAGUAGAACCGGUCGGCGCACGGUAGAUUUUAUUCAAAACCAAUGUCUAGCGGUUCGGUCCCGUUUGAACCUGGGCCGGACCGCUGAACCGACCGACGGUUUAAAUCUAUUUUUUAAAAAAAAUUAUACAUAUAUGAAACAAUGCCGUUUCACUUAAAUUGAAGUGAAACGGCGUCGUUUUAGGACUUAGUAUUUGAAAAAAAUAAUAAAAGGAACGGCGCCGUUUAACCCUAGGGCUAACACAGCGCACGUUCCUUUCCUCUUCUUCCCCGUUUCUGUUCUUUUUACUCUCAAACAUUUUGCUGCCCCCUCCUCUCUCUCUCUCUCUCUCAAGGCGCAUGCAGCCACGCAAGGCAGCUCCGUCGCCAGCUCCCUCCCUCUCUCUCUCUCUAAUCUCACCUCGCGGCGUCAUAUCUCUCUCUCUCUCUCAAAAAUCUCAAUCACCGUGGCUUCAUUGCCCUCUCUCGCUCUCUCUAACGGCGCACACAGCAACCGAUGACGCCGACGAACCGACCGGAGUUACACCGAGACCGAGGACGACGGUUUCCUCCCCAUUCUCCGGCCGCUUUCGGUCGAGAUUUGUGUCAUUUUCACCCAUCGGUGCGGUUUCGGUUUUGGACCAAAAACCACGCCGAUAGGUCGGUUUUCACCCCUAUCAAUAAUCACGUGGUUGGCUCAAGUGGUAAAGGCAUUCUAGCCUUGGGCUUGGGGGUAUGCUCCCUCUAAGUCUAAGGUUCAAAUCUCCAUGCAAAUAAUCUCUAGGGGCCAUUGGACUGGGGGAUUUUCCCUUGAAUUAUCCGAGGUGCACUUGCAGGAAAUUCCUUGCAGAGGGCUUUUACACCAAUGGAAUUAGUCAGAACGCUAUUCCCAAAAACCCAAGGCCAAUUAAAAAAAAUAAUGCAAUGACCUCAUAAAAGGCUCCUCCUAAUCAAUGACAUGACCUAACUAAGGUCUAAUCUAUGCAAGAAUGCAUAUCCAAAAGUUUUGCCUCCUGUAUAGUACUUAGGAAGCUUACAAAACCACAUCUUCACUAGAAAUGCCAAUGACUACUAUACUGCAAUACAUAAGUUAUUUUAUUAUUUUUCAAAUUCACUACACUAUUUUCUAUCAUUCUUAUCCCUGGAAAAAAGAAAAAUACUCCACUAUCCUCCAAGGCUUUUUCUAAUAAAUUCACUUUCACUUCUAGACCUGCUUCUCUAUCGUUGGAACUCUUCAACUCCCUUUUCAACUCUUUCACUCUCCUAGGGAGCCUAUCAUUCCGAGUGUUUGGUCAAGUCACUUGAGCUUCAGCUUGGUGUGAUUCUUUCUAUUCCAUGGGAAAACUAGCCAGAUGGUCUAUACUAAAAAUCCAAUGUGCACAGAGCAAGACUUCCUAAGACAAUCACAGAUGCAACUUUGAGUUGUUGAUUCCACAUGUUGAUAACAUUCUUUAAGGUGGUUGAAUAUGAUCAACAAGUAGUAAAUAUCAAUAAGGUAACCCAUAAUUGCUUGUACACCUCCAGAACUGAACUGAAAAUUCGUUAGGCCAUAAUAGUUUAGUCCCAAAAUUUCAUGACAGAUAUUCUGAGGGAUGUUUGCCUCACCAAACUCUAACCUCCUUUUGUAAACCAUGCAGCAUUGUAAGAAUAAGCAUAUUUAGAAACGGGAUUUCUCCUGCGCCUUUUUCCACUAAUAAAAAUGAACGCACCUUGUGUAAGCCAUUCAAUAUGGUCAGCAAAUAUUAGAGGCAUUAAAAAGUGCCCAGCAUACAAAAGAUAGUUUUAAAAAUCAAGAGAAUUACAUCAUUUAGCAUUAUAUUGAAAAUUAGUUAAGAGAGAAAAGGAUGAGCUAAAUAGAAAUUCAAAUAUAUAUAUAUAUAAUCAAGACUUCACCCACAAGGCAAGAACCAAUCUUGAAUUUGUUAUCAGGAAAUACGGAAAGAUGAGAAAAUACUAAGUUCAGUUAGAAAGAAAACACUAAAAGUCCUGCAAGUGCUUACUUUCCAGAACCAGAUGAUCUGAGGAUCGGUUUCUUUGUAGCCAUUGUAUUCAGUAUGUGCCUUCCAAUCAUCAACGGAGAUGGUAGUUUCACUUCCAUAAAGCAUCCAGUCAAGAUCUUCCAGCUCUAAA